rnacentral:rRNA from 1 species
CUCAGGAACAGAUUUGACCCUUCUUAGGUGUAUCUGCUGAAACCUUAGUGAGCCCUGUAUCGCAGGGUUUGACCGCACGACUAUAAACAAAGUUGAGUCCCCGGCUAAAGAUUUUAACUAUCUUAACUGGGUCACUGGUCAGUUUAUCACUGGCAACACCCUUAGUCUGCAGGAAUAUUCUUUUGAACAACCUGCAGCCAUCCACCGCGGUAACGCUCCGUUGGUAGGCUGGCUCACAGGCUAAAUAGCGGUGGAUGCCAUCUUUGAAGAUGGUAUUUCAGAUAUAGUCGCAUCCCUCAACAUUGUAUCUUGCAGGGACCGUGUUCCGUAGGUGAACCUGCGGAAGGAUCAUUA